rnacentral:rRNA from 1 species
UGCAAGUCGAACGGUAAGGCCCCUUCGGGGGUACACGAGUGGCGCACGGGUGAGUAACGCGUAUGCAACCUGCCCUGUACAGGGGGAUAGCCCGGAGAAAUCCGGAUUAAUACCCCAUAGUUUUUAUGAGUCGCAUGGCUUAUAAAAUAAAGUUUCGGCGGUACAGGAUGGGCAUGCGUGGCAUUAGCUAGUUGGUAAGGUAACGGCUUACCAAGGCGACGAUGCCUAGGGGUUCUGAGAGGAUGAUCCCCCACACUGGGACUGAGACACGGCCCAGACUCCUACGGGAGGCAGCAGUGAGGAAUAUUGGUCAAUGGGCGAGAGCCUGAACCAGCCAUCCCGCGUGCAGGAUGACGGCCCUACGGGUUGUAAACUGCUUUUAUGUACCAAGAAUGUGUUCUACGUGUAGGAUUUUGACGGUAGUACAUGAAUAAGCAUCGGCUAACUCCGUGCCAGCAGCCGCGGUAAUACGGAGGAUGCAAGCGUUAUCCGGAUUCAUUGGGUUUAAAGGGUGCGUAGGCGGCUAUAUAAGUCAGUGGUGAAAUGCUGCAGCUCAACUGUAGAACUGCCAUUGAAACUGUAUAGCUUGAGUGCGCCUGAGGUAGGCGGAAUGAGUAGUGUAGCGGUGAAAUGCUUAGAUAUUACUCAGAACACCGAUUGCGAAGGCAGCUUACUAAAGCGUAACUGACGCUGAUGCACGAAAGCGUGGGGAGCGAACAGGAUUAGAUACCCUGGUAGUCCACGCCGUAAACGAUGAUAACUCGCUGUUGGCGAUACACAGUCAGCGGCUUAGCGAAAGCAUUAAGUUAUCCACCUGGGGAGUACGAUCGCAAGGUUGAAACUCAAAGGAAUUGACGGGGGCCCGCACAAGCGGAGGAACAUGUGGUUU